rnacentral:rRNA from 1 species
UGGGGAAUAUUGCACAAUGGGCGCAAGCCUGAUGCAGCCAUGCCGCGUGUGUGAAGAAGGCCUUCGGGUUGUAAAGCACUUUCAGCGAGGAGGAAGGUGGUGAGCUUAAUACGCUCAUCAAUUGACGUUACUCGCAGAAGAAGCACCGGCUAACUCCGUGCCAGCAGCCGCGGUAAUACGGAGGGUGCAAGCGUUAAUCGGAAUUACUGGGCGUAAAGCGCACGCAGGCGGUUUGUUAAGUCAGAUGUGAAAUCCCCGGGCUCAACCUGGGAACUGCAUUUGAAACUGGCAAGCUAGAGUCUCGUAGAGGGGGGUAGAAUUCCAGGUGUAGCGGUGAAAUGCGUAGAGAUCUGGAGGAAUACCGGUGGCGAAGGCGGCCCCCUGGACGAAGACUGACGCUCAGGUGCGAAAAGCGUGGGGCAGCAAACAGGAUUAGAUACCCUGGUAGUCCACGCUGUAAAACGAUGUCGAUUUUGGAGGUUGUGCCCUUGAGGCGUGGCUUCCGGAGCUAACGCGUUAAAUCGACCGCCUGGGGAGUACGG